rnacentral:rRNA from 1 species
AUGUACAUUCCUACAACAUAGCGUUAAUGCACCAGAUCCCAUUAGAACUCCGCAGUUAAGAUUGCUCGGGCUAGAGUAGUAUUGGGACGGGUGACCGCUCGGGAAGUCAUAGUAUUUUACAUG